GUCUAGGGCCUUACCACCCUGAACGCGCCCCAUCUCAUCUGAUCUCAGAAGCUAAGAAGGAUUGACCCUGGUUAGUACUUGGAUGAGAGAAGUAAUAGCAAAUACUUUCCCCAAGUAGGGGGAAAAUCUGAUAUACA
rnacentral:rRNA from 1 species